GACAGAGGUGCCAAGCGUUAGGCGGAAUCACUGGGCUUAAAGCGUGUGUAGGUGGACUGGUAAGUAUCUUGUGAAAUCCCACGGCUCAACCGUGGAACUGCUGGAUAUACUGCUGGUCUUGAGCUACCUAGGGGCGAGCGGAACAAAUGGUGGAGCGGUGAAAUGCGUAGAUAUCAUUUGGAACGCCAAUGGUGAAGACAGCUCGCUGGGGGUAUGCUGACACUGAGACACGAAAGCCAGGGGAGCAAACGGG
rnacentral:rRNA from 1 species